GCCGGUGAAUGCACUGAAAAGAGAAGAGAAUUGUUCACAUCCUAGAAGCUUUUAUUUAAAUUGUUGCCCACUGGAACCUGUCUGUUUCCAGUGGGCUUUGUUGAUUGUAUGGCUUCAUUAAUUGUAUGGCUUCAUUAAUUGUAUGGCUUUCCUGGUUGUGUUUCUCCUUGUAAUGGUUAGGGGAUGCAAGUACAUAGGGCACUAGCAAGUAAAUGGAUAGCGUAGGGCACCAACCAAGUAAAUGGAUAAUGCAAGACAUUGGGGUGAAAGGGGAUACUCCAGAAAGGCUACUACAUUCACAGACACAUUUUUAGCCUGUCACUAUGUUUCCAGCCCGGGUGGCAGUUUGAUUUUGAUUUCUACAAAGGACUGGAAAGCAUAGAGGACAUCUGAACAGGGGAAAAAAAAAAAACAAAAAAACUUGAAUAUGGGACAAAAGUGGCUCUUUCAAUACAAGUCUGCAUUAGGGGUCUUUAUUUCAGGUCUGAAACAAGUAAGGUCAGGGUGGAGACGGUCAGUGGAGAUGAGAGAAAUGAAUCAUAUAUCAGCAAACGCUUCUGGAAAUGGUUGUGUGUGGAUGACAGCAGG
rnacentral:lncRNA from 1 species